CAGUCGUUCGUUUGUGCCAACUGCGUCACCGAGCGCGUCGUGUUCUUCUACUCCGCCGACGGCGCCAGGCUCUUCUUCGAGUGUGAUGGCGCCGUGCACGGGGUUAGCGCGCUCGCGAGCCUCCACCUAUGUGCCCCGCUUUGCGACGCCUGUGACGCCGAACGUGCCGCUCUCUGCUGCCAAAUCGGCGCCCACCGGGCCAUGCUCUGCGCCGGCCGCCGUGCGCUGCUAGACCGCGGCGGUGGAGCCUCCCCCGUGGAUGCUUACACCAGCGGUUAUGCGCCCGCCGAGAUCGUCUGCAUCCUCUCCGUCGACGCGCCGUCGUCGCAUGAGGACUUCGAUGUCUGGCUCGCCGACAACCUCCCCCAAAUCCUACACGAGGUUCAGGUAUAA
rnacentral:rRNA from 1 species